UCAAGUUCCCUGUCGCGCGUUGAUGGCCAUGCCAGAACAGGCAACAUGAUGGGUGAACUUGCACGCUACCAACUUGCCCCCGAUGACGAGACGGGGCGACAUAGAAAGGAGCGCAGCGGGCCCCCCCCUAUCCCCGAACGCUCACGCAAUAGACCAUCCCAAGCGCUGUUGUCCGUAUGGGCAUCAGCCGCCGUUCACCCACGAGUUAAGGUCGGACAUGUAUGCACCGUGAAUGAAACCCUAAGUGCGACCGUGCCCAAAUACAACAGCACUGCCCAAUGUCCAGAAGCCUAGCGCCGAAAGCUGUUCCAUGCCAACAACGGCGUCCAUGUUACUUGCACGGUUCCGAACGACUUAUCUGUUCUGUUGUUUAAGUUGAGUAAGUUAUAUUUUUCCGCGCAAGUUUGUAAUCUGACUUUACGUUGAACAAGGGGCUGUAUGCAUUGCGCUACCGAAUCCGCGCCCGUUUGCUUGCGCAAACUGCCGCUUCGCCAAACGCUUCCUCUUCCCGCGGCCGUUUCAAGCGCCCAGUCUUGCAAGCUACGUUGUUUGCUUUCUGUGCUUUCAGUUACGGCAAAGCAGGCACCCCACUGUCCGGGCUGCAUGCCGCGUGCGACUGUGGCCAGCAUGCCCUCCUGCGCACAGCACUGACGCACCGCGGCCUUUCUUCGCCAAG
rnacentral:lncRNA from 1 species